GACGAACGCUGGCGGCGUGCUUAACACAUGCAAGUCGAACGGAAAGGCCCCUUUGGGGGUACUCGAGUGGCGGACGGGUGCGUAACACGUGCGUAACCUGCCCUUGACUUCGGGAUAACUUCAGGAAACUGGGGCUAAUACCGGUAAGGAAUCCUUGCUGCAUGGGGGGGGUUGGAAAGCUUCGGCGGUUUUGGAUGGACUCGCUGGUUAUCAGCUUGUUGGUGGGGUAGUGGCUUACCAAGGCUUUGUAGGGUAGCUGGCCUGCGAGGGCGACCGGCCACAUUGGCACUGAGGGGCGGCCCAGGCUCCUACGGGAGGCAGCAGUGGGGAAUAUUGCACAAUGGGCGGAAGCCUGGUGCAGAAGCGCCGCGUGCGGGAUGACGGCCUUCGGGUGGUAAACCGCUUGCAGCAGGGGCGAAGCUUGUGGUGACGGUACCUGCAGAAGAAGCACCGGCUAACUACGUG
rnacentral:rRNA from 1 species